rnacentral:rRNA from 1 species
GACGAACGCUGGCGGCGUGCUUAACACAUGCAAGUCGAACGAAGAGCGAUGGAAGCUUGCUUCUAUCAAUCUUAGUGGCGAACGGGUGAGUAACGCGUAAUCAACCUGCCCUUCAGAGGGGGACAACAGUUGGAAACGACUGCUAAUACCGCAUACGAUCUAAUCUCGGCAUCGAGGAUAGAUGAAAGGUGGCCUCUACAUGUAAGCUAUCACUGAAGGAGGGGAUUGCGUCUGAUUAGCUAGUUGGAGGGGUAACGGCCCACCAAGGCGAUGAUCAGUAGCCGGUCUGAGAGGAUGAACGGCCACAUUGGGACUGAGACACGGCCCAGACUCCUACGGGAGGCAGCAGUGGGGAAUCGUGCGCAAUGGACGAAAGUCUGACGGAGCAACGCCGCGGGAGUGAUGACGGCCUUCGGGUUGUAAAGCUCUGUUAAUCGGGACGAAAGGCCUUCUUGCGAAUAGUGAGAAGGAUUGACGGUACCGGAAUAGAAAGCCACGGCUAACUACGUG